CGCGUAGGUGGCCUGUUAAGUCGAACGUGAAAUCCCCGGGCUCAACCCGGGAACUGCGUCCGAGACUGGCAGGCUCGGAUCCGGGAGAGGGAUGUGGAAUUCCAGGUGUAGCGGUGAAAUGCGUAGAUAUCUGGAGGAACACCGGUGGCGAAGGCGGCAUCCUGGACCGGUAUUGACGCUGAGGCGCGAAAGCCAGGGGAGCAAACGGGAUUAGAUACCCCGGUAGUCCUGGCCCUAAACGAUGAAUGCUUGGUGUGGCGGGUAUCGAUCCCUGCCGUGCCGAAGCUAACGCAUUAAGCAUUCCGCCUGGGGAGUACGGUCGCAAGGCUGAA
rnacentral:rRNA from 1 species